AAAAAAAGACAACUUUGGUUUUCGUGUCCAACGUUUGACCGUCCAUUUUAUUUAAAAAAAUAUGAAAAAUAUAUAAAAAGAUAAGUCACGCAUAAAAUAUUAAUCAUGUUUUAUCAUCUAACAAUAAUGAAAAUACGAAUUAUAAAAAAAUUCAUACAAGAUUAUGAGACAGACAGUUAAAGUUGGACACGAAAAUUUAGGGUUUGUCUUUUU
rfam:Oryza glumipatula chromosome 10, whole genome shotgun sequence.